UACGGAGGUGGCAAGCGUUGCUCGGAAUCACUGGGCGUAAAGGGCGCGUAGGCGGGGAGGUAAGUCGGGGGUGAAAUCCCUCGGCCCAACCGAGGAACUGCGCCCGAGACUGCUUCUCUUGAGUCCCGGAGAGGAAGGUGGAAUUCCCGGUGUAGCGGUGAAAUGUGUAGAGAUCGGGAGGAACGCCGGUGGCGAAGGCGGCCUUCUGGACGGUGACUGACGCUGAGGCGCGAAAGCGUGGGGAGCAAACGGG
rnacentral:rRNA from 1 species